rnacentral:snoRNA from 1 species
UUCAAUGAUGAAACGGCACUGGGCUCUGAACACAUAUGAGCGACAUGCCACUUUGCGACAGGCCUAGAAAACCUCGUCCACUGAGC